UGGGGAAUUUUGGACAAUGGAGGAAACCCUGAUCCAGCCAUCCCGCGUGUGCGAUGAAGGCCUUCGGGUUGUAAAGCACUUUUGGCAGGAAAGAAACGUCAUGGGUUAAUACCCCGUGAAACUGACGGUACCUGCAGAAUAAGCACCGGCUAACUACGUGCCAGCAGCCGCGGUAAUACGUAGGGUGCAAGCGUUAAUCGGAAUUACUGGGCGUAAAGCGUGCGCAGGCGGUUCGGAAAGAAAGAUGUGAAAUCCCAGAGCUCAACUUUGGAACUGCAUUUUUAACUACCGGGCUAGAGUGUGUCAGAGGGAGGUGGAAUUCCGCGUGUAGCAGUGAAAUGCGUAGAUAUGCGGAGGAACACCGAUGGCGAAGGCAGCCUCCUGGGAUAACACUGACGCUCAUGCACGAAAGCGUGGGGAGCAAACAGG
rnacentral:rRNA from 1 species